AACGCGGUCGGCAGGCGUAACACACNCAAGUCGAGCGCACCCUCAAGGGGAGCGGCAGACGGGUGAGUAACGCGUGGGAAUNUGCCCUUUUGUACGGAAUAACCCAGGGAAACUGGGGGUAAUACCGUAUACGCCCUUCGGGGGAAAGAUUUAUCGCCAAAGGAUGAGCCCGCGUUGGAUUAGNUAGUUGGUGGGGUAAUGGCUUACCAAGGCGACGAUCCAUAGCUGGUUUGAGAGGAUGAUCAGCCACACUGGGACUGAGACACGGCCCAGACUCCUACGGGAGGCAGCAGUGGGGAAUAUUGGACAAUGGGGGCAAGCCUGAUCCAGCCAUGCCGCGUGAGUGAUGAAGGCCCUAGGGUUGUAAAGCUCUUCAGCUGGGAAGAUAAUGAC
rnacentral:rRNA from 1 species